rnacentral:rRNA from 1 species
UACGAAGGGGGCUAGCGUUGCUCGGAAUCACUGGGCGUAAAGCGCACGUAGGCGGAUUGUUAAGUCAGGGGUGAAAUCCUGGAGCUCAACUCCAGAACUGCCUUUGAUACUGGCGAUCUCGAGUCCGGGAGAGGUGAGUGGAACUGCGAGUGUAGAGGUGAAAUUCGUAGAUAUUCGCAAGAACACCAAUAGCGAAGGCAGCUCGCUGGGACGGUACUGACGCUAAGGCGCGAAAGCGUGGGGAGCGAACAGG